rnacentral:rRNA from 1 species
UUGCUUUUGAUGGGCGUCGACCGGCGCACGGGUGAGUAACGCGUAUCCAACCUGCCCAUCACUUGGGAAUAACCUUGCGAAAGUAAGACUAAUACCCAAUGAUAUCCCACGAAGGCAUCCGAAUGGGAUUAAAGAUUUAUCGGUGAUGGAUGGGGAUGCGUCUGAUUAGCUUGUUGGCGGGGUAACGGCCCACCAAGGCGACGAUGCAUAGCCGGCCUGAGAGGAUGAUCAGCCACAUUGGGACUGAGACACGGCCCAGACUCC